UACGGAGGAUGCGAGCGUUAUCCGGAUUUAUUGGGUUUAAAGGGUGCGUAGGCGGAUUUUUAAGUCAGCGGUAAAAUGCCCGGGCUCAACCCGGGCCGGCCGUUGAAACUGGGGAUCUUGAGUGGGCGAGAAGUAUGCGGAAUGCGUGGUGUAGCGGUGAAAUGCAUAGAUAUCACGCAGAACUCCGAUUGCGAAGGCAGCAUACCGGCGCCCGACUGACGCUGAGGCACGAAAGCGUGGGGAUCGAACAGG
rnacentral:rRNA from 1 species